rnacentral:misc_RNA from 1 species
AAGUCGUAACAAGGUUUCCGUAGGUGAACCUGCGGAAGGAUCAUUAUCAAGUUUGCUUUAACUAGCAACUGAAUGUGUGUCAACUGUUUCCUCGCCGCCGUGUGGUGGUCCUCUGGGGCUGCCACUAUGGUCUUUUUUAACCUUUAAACCAUAAAACUUUAUGACUGAAGUAAAUUGUAAACCUAGAAAACUUUUAGCAAUGGAUCUCUAGGCUCUU